rnacentral:rRNA from 1 species
GAUGAACGCUGGCGGCGUGCCUAAUACAUGCAAGUCGAGCGAAUGGAUUGAGAGCUUGCUCUUAUGAAGUUAGCGGCGGACGGGUGAGUAACACGUGGGUAACCUGCCCAUAAGACUGUGAUAACUCCGGGAAACCGGGGCUAAUACCGGAUAACAUUUUGAACCGCAUGGUUCGAAAUUGAAAGGCGGCUUCGGCUGUCACUUAUGGAUGGACCCGCGUCGCAUUAGCUAGUUGGUGAGGUAACGGCUCACCAAGGCAACGAUGCGUAGCCGACCUGAGGGGGUGAUCGGCCACACUGGGACUGAGACACGGCCCAGACUCCUACGGGAGGUAGCAGUAGGGAAUCUUCCGCAAUGGACGAAAGUCUGACGGAGCAACGCCGCGUGAGUGAUGAAGGCUUUCGGGUCGUAAAACUCUGUUGUUAGGGAAGAACAAGUGCUAGUUGAAUAAGCUGGCACCUUGACGGUACCUAACCAGAAAGCCACGGCUAACUACGUGCCAGCCGCCGCAGUAA